rnacentral:lncRNA from 1 species
UCGGGAGGAGGAGCCUAGGGUCCAGCGCCGCGCAAGCCGCCCUCGUUCCCACCAAGGGGCACUGAGGACUCUGCGCCCGCGGACCUGGCAAGGGUCGCAGAGCUAGGUCUCACCCAGCUGCCCUCCCAGGCGAGCUUCUCUCUGGGCUUCUGCAUCGAGCGGAAGUGGCGGGGACGCUCGCCAAGCCGCGGAGCCAGGGGCCUGGGGACCGAGGCCCCGCAGGAGAGCCGGCACUCUUUCUGCGCAGGCGUGUCGCUCAGGCCGGGAGGGGCGGGGUCUGGUAGGGGCGGGGGCGGAGCCAGUUCCCGGGCCCGCCUCCCCUAGCUCCCCGAGCCGCCGAGCGCUGGGCGCCCCGGCUGUUCUAGGGGCUUCAGACGCGCCGCCCUGGAGACCCUGGGCCGGCGGUGGGCGCGGCUGCCUCUCCGCGUUUGCCUGUCCGUCUUUGUGUCUGUCUCUGUGUCUGUCUGGCUGUCUCCGAGCUUGCCUCCACUUCUAGAACUAAGCCUCCGGGACACCGACAUCCCGCGAACCCUCCCCCGUCUCCCAUGGCAGGCUACAUACCCCCCAAGGGCUACGCCCCUUCGCCCCCACCUCCCUCCCCUGUGACCGCUGGGUANNNNNNNNNNNNNNNNNNNNNNNNNNNNNNNNNNNNNNNNNNNNNNNNNNCUGACGUCUGCGCGGCCCCUACUCUCUUUCCAGAUUGAUCAGAUCUUGAUUCACCAGAAAGCUGAGCGGGUGGAAACGCUCCUGGGCUGGGAGACCUGUAACCGGUACGAACUGCGCUCGGGGGCCGGACAGCCCCUAGGUCAGGCUGCAGAGGAGAGCAACUGCUGUGCUCGUCUGUGCUGUGGCGCCCGUCGGCCCCUGCGAGUCCGCCUGGUGGACCCCGGGGACCGAGAGGUGCUCCGCCUGCUCCGCCCUCUCCAUUGUGGCUGGCGCUGCUGUCCGUGCGGCCUCCAGGAGAUGGAAGUACAGUCUCCACCGGGCACCACCAUUGGCCAUGUUCUACAGACCUGGCAUCCCUUCCUCCCCAAGUUCUCCAUUCAGGAUGCUGAUCGCCAGACGGUUUUGCGAGUAGUGGGCCCCUGCUGGACCUGUGGCUGUGGCACAGACACCAACUUUGAGGUGAAGACCCCGGACGAAUCCCGCAGCGUGGGCCGCAUCAGCAAGCAGUGGGGUGGGCUGCUCCGAGAGGCCCUCACCGACGCCGAUGACUUCGGCCUGCAGUUCCCGCUGGACCUGGACGUGAGGGUGAAGGCUGUGCUGCUGGGCGCCACAUUCCUCAUCGACUACAUGUUCUUCGAGAAGCGAGGAGGCGCCGGGCCCUCAGCCGUCACCAGUUAGAGGCCGCCUCAGGGUGAAGAGACCAUCAGACUCAACCAGAAUCCACGAUGGUCCCUGGCCCUGACCUGGCCCCUCCUCAGAGACAGUCCCUUUCCUCCGUGUACACUGCAGGGGAGAGACAGGGACCCCUGAGAGGCUGGGGGCUUGGCGCCCCGGCCCAGCCCACUCCCCUGGCCUCCUUCACCUCUGGCCCCUCCGGAAGCGUAGAUAUGAGAGCCCUUCCCCGUGCCUCCCACCAGCACCCCUGCACUCCCGGCACACAGGCGUAUCGCUUUCAGACUUUCCCUCCCCGCUUCCUCCCACCCCCUUCCAGAGCCUCUGCUCCAGACCAGGCCUUGUGCCCUGGGAAGGCAGGGCUCUGGGGUUUCGUGACAGGUGGGGACUUCAACGUAGCACCAAAGAUGACAGGCGUGGCCAGCCUUUCCCCGCAUCGGGACUGGCUCCUAACUGAGGCGGCCGCUCCCUCCCAGCCUGGCGGGAGGGCCCAGGCCCCAGCGCCAACUUCCUCCCCUGGCUGGUGCUUGCCACGGCCCCCUGUGCCUUACCUCACCACCCCUUCUUCCCUCGCCCCAGGAAGGAGGCUGCCUCUUUGUAUGUUAUGUUCAUAUAAACUUUGUAACUUUUUGGACA